GAAACGGUCUAGCUUGCUAGAUGCAGUCUAAGUGGCGCACGGGUGAGUAAUGUAUAGCUAAUGUGCCCCUUGGAGGGGGAUAACAGUUGGAAACGGCUGCUAAUACCCCAUACUCCUUCAUUCUUAAUGAGUGAAGGGAAAGUUUUUUCGCCAAGGGAUCAGGCUAUAUGGUAUCAGCUAGUUGGUGAGGUAACGGCUCACCAAGGCAAUGACGCCUAACUGGUCUGAGAGGAUGAUCAGUCACACUGGAACUGAGACACGGUCCAGACUCCUACGGGAGGCAGCAGUGGGGAAUAUUGCACAAUGGAGGAAACUCUGAUGCAGCAACGCCGCGUGGAGGAUGACGCAUUUCGGUGUGUAAACUCCUUUUAUAUAGGAAGAUAAUGACGGUACUAUAUGAAUAAGCACCGGCUAACUCCGUGCCAGCAGCC
rnacentral:rRNA from 1 species